rnacentral:rRNA from 1 species
UACGUAGGGUGCAAGCGUUGUCCGGAAUUAUUGGGCGUAAAGGGUGCGUAGGCGGCGCGGUAAGUCGGGUGUGAAAUCUCGGGGCUUAACUCCGAAACUGCAUUCGAUACUGCCGUGCUUGAGGACUGGAGAGGAGACUGGAAUUCAUGGUGUAGCAGUGAAAUGCGUAGAUAUCGUAAGGAAGACCAGUGGCGAAGGCGGGUCUCUGGACAGUUCCUGACGCUGAGGCACGAAGGUCAGGGGAGCAAACGGG